rnacentral:rRNA from 1 species
CAAUAGCGUAUAUUAAAGUUGUUGCAGUUAAAAAGCUCGUAGUUGGAUUUCUGGUUGAAGCGACCGGUCGGGCGUUGAUUCGUCUGCACUGGAGUCGGUUUUGGCCAUCCUCUAGGAAAGUGCGUCUGGUAUUAAGUUAUCGGGCGUAUGAUCCUGGUCUUUUACUGUGAAAAAAUUAGAGUGUUUAAAGCAGGCCUUCGCCUUGAAUACAUUAGCAUGGAAUAAUAAGAUAGGACUUUGGUCCAUUUUGUUGGUUUGCAGACCGAAGUAAUGAUUAAUAGGGAUAGUUGGGGGUAUUUAUAUUCCGAUGUCAGAGGUGAAAUUCUUAGAUUUUCGGAAGAUAAACUUAUGCGAAAGCAUUUACCAAGGAUGUUUUCAUUA